rnacentral:rRNA from 1 species
GGUCUGAUCAUGGCUCAGAUUGAACGCUGGCGGGAUGCUUUACACAUGCAAGUCGAACGGCAGCACGGACUUCGGUCUGCGGUGGCGAGUGGCGAACGGGUGAGUAAUGCAUCGGAACGUGCCUAGUAGCGGGGAUAACUACGCGAAAGCAGAACAAUACCGCAUACCGCCCUUCGGGGGAAAGCGGGGGGACCUUCGGGCCUUCGCACCAUUAGAGCGGCCGAUAUCGGGAUUAGCUAUUGGUGGGGUAACGGCUCACCAAGGCGACGAUCCGUAGCUGGUUUGAGGACGACCAGCCACACUGGGACUGAGACACGGCCCAGACUCCUACGGGAGGCAGCAGUGGGGAAUUUUUGGACAAUGGGGGAAACCCUGAUCCAGCCACCGCGUGCGAUGAAGGCCUUCGGGUUGUAAAGCACUUUUGCAGGAAAGAAAACGGCACGGGAUAAUACUCCCGUGCAACUGACGGUGUCUGCAGAAUAAGCACCGGCUAACUACGUGUGCCAGCAGCCGCGGUAAUACGUAGGGUACAAGCGUUAAUCGGAAUUACUGGGCGAAGCGUGCGCAGGCGGUUCGAAAAAGAAAGAUGUGAAAUCCCAGAGCUUAACUUUGGAACUGCAUUUUUAACUACCGAGCUAGAGUGUGUCAGAGGGAGUGUGGAAUUCGCGUGUAGCAGUGAAAUGCGUAGAUAUGCGGAGGAACACCUGAUGGCGAAGGCAACCUCCUGGGAUAACACUGACGCCUGCGCACGAAAGCGUGGGGGAUAAACAGGAUUAGAUACCCUGGUAGUCCACGCCUCCUAAACGAUGUCAACUAGCUGUUGGGGCCUUCGGCCUUCGGUAGCGCAGCUAACGCGUGAAGUUGACCGCCUGGGGAGUACAGUCGCAAGAUUAAAACUCAAAGAAUUGACGGGGACCCGCACAAGCGGUGGAUGAUGUGGAUUAAUUCGAUGCAACGCGAAAAACCUUACCUACCCUUGACAUGUCUGGAAUCCCGAAGAGAUUUGGGAGUGCUCGCAAGAGAACCGGAACACAGGUGCUGCAUGGCUGUCGUCAGCUCGUGUCGUGAGAUGCUGGGUUAAGUCCGCAACGAGCGCAACCUUGUCAUUAGUUGCUACGAAAGGGCACUCUAAUGACUGCCGGUGACAAACCGGAGGAAGGUGGGGAUGACGUCAAGUCCUCAUGGCCCUUAUGGCAGGGGCUUCACACGUCAUACAAUGGUCGGGACAGAGGGUCGCCAACCCGCGAGGGGGAGCCAAUCCCAGAAACCCGAUCGCAGUCCGGAUCGCAGUCUGCAACUCGACUGCGUAGUCGGAAUCGCUAGUAAUCGCGGAUCAGCAUGUCGCGGUGAAUACGUUCCCGGUCUUGUACACACCGCCCGUCACACCAUGGGAGUGGGUUUUACCAGAAGUAGUUAGCCUAACCGUAAGGAGGGCGAUUACCACGGUAGGAUUCAUGAUCAGGUGAAGUCGUAACAAGGUAG